CCUUUUUGACAUUUAUGACAACCAAUAGUACUAUAUCGAAAGAAAGCAUUCAGAGGGUUUGUCCUCGGCUACACACCACCAGCUGCUAGGCAAAGACUUUAUUUCAAGGAAGCACCAUCAUAAGGUCAGUCGAUCAGUUAUGUCAUGAGCCAUGUACCUUUUAAACAUAUGCAUCCUACAGUCUACAUGCUAUAUACUCGGGUAUCAGUAAGGUUGCUGGCCAUGGUUUUAAGCAUCACCACUGCUUUCUGUAGGCCAAUCACCAAGAAGGUGAUUUGUUAGUUUCACACAGAGCUUUCUUCCAUUCAUAUAUAUAGAGCAUCCAUGAUACCUUUUCUAAUUACUACAAGGUAUAUCUGGAUAUCUGGAUAGUAGGAAAAGGAGGUAUCAGGAGCUCACGUCCAAGAUUUUCUCUGAAAAAUGGUGCCCAAUCUCUUUCGUCGAGCACAAUCGACCUUGGCCUUUGCCGGCGCGGGUGCCAGUGCCAGCUUCUGCUACGGAGCUCCUGAGGCUGCUAUCCCACUCUUCGUUCCGUUCUGGUUAUAUAGCAGUAGAUCUAGCAAGCACAAGACGACUGGUCCGGAG
rnacentral:lncRNA from 1 species